rnacentral:rRNA from 1 species
GUAUUAGAUUAUUCUUGAAAUCCAAAUAAUUUGGCGGUAUUUUAUUCUAUUCAGAGGAACCUGUUCUUUAAUUGAUAAUCCACGAUUUUAUUUACUUAAUCUUGUAUAACAGUUUUUAUAUUUCCGUCAUAAGGAUAUUUUGUUAGGAUAAAUUUUCUUAAUUAUUAAAAGUAAUAAUGUCAGGUCAAAAUGAAACUAAUGUUUAAGUAGAAAUGGGUUACAAUAAAUUUAUUUAUACGAAUUUUUAAUUUUAUAUUUAUUUUGAAGGAGGAUUUGAUAGUAAAUAAAUUUAUUAAAUUUAUUGAUUUAAGCUCUAAAAUAUGUACACAUCGCC